rnacentral:rRNA from 1 species
UGGGGAAUAUUGGACAAUGGGCGAAAGCCUGAUCCAGCCAUGCCGCGUGUGUGAAGAAGGUCUUCGGAUUGUAAAGCACUUUAAGUUGGGAGGAAGGGCAUUAACCUAAUACGUUAGUGUUUUGACGUUACCGACAGAAUAAGCACCGGCUAACUCUGUGCCAGCAGCCGCGGUAAUACAGAGGGUGCAAGCGUUAAUCGGAAUUACUGGGCGUAAAGCGCGCGUAGGUGGUUUGUUAAGUUGGAUGUGAAAUCCCCGGGCUCAACCUGGGAACUGCAUUCAAAACUGACUGACUAGAGUAUGGUAGAGGGUGGUGGAAUUUCCUGUGUAGCGGUAAAAUGCGUAGAUAUAGGAAGGAACACCAGUGGCGAAGGCGACCACCUGGACUAAUACUGACACUGAGGUGCGAAAGCGUGGGGAGCAAACA